rnacentral:rRNA from 1 species
GCCUACGGCCACAACACCCUGAAAACACCCGAUGUUGUCUGAUCUCAAAGCUAAGCAGAGUCAGGCUCNGCCAGUACUCCAAUGAUAGACCACCUGGGAAUCCCUGGUGCUGUAGGCU